rnacentral:misc_RNA from 1 species
AAGUCGUAACAAGGUUUCCGUAGGUGAACCUGCGGAAGGAUCAUUAACUUAAUUUAUGAAUGUGUAUUUUCUGUUUGCAUGCAAAUGUAGAUGGUUGAUAUGCGUUUAUUUAUCAAAACCAAAAUUUACAAUCCGUGAAACUAAAAAACAAAACACGAACGUGGAGUGCAGCCUCGAUAGCAAUAUCGCCUGUGCUUCAUUUGAGUACCAAUUCCACCAAACAAUUUUAACUUUAUUAGCCCCAUUACCGUAGUGAAUGUUUUCGAAUAUUCAUACUAAAACAACAAACCAAGAGGAGAAUGAAAAUCAAGUAUAUAUACGUGUUGAUACUUUGUUUGAUCGCAUGACAAUAUAUAACUGGCUUUUGUUUUCUUUAUUCUAUAAAUUAAUAGAGAAAUACAACUCUUAACAAUGGAUAUCUUGGCUCUC